rnacentral:rRNA from 1 species
CACGUAGGCGGAUCUUUAAGUCAGGGGUGAAAUCCCGAGGCUCAACCUCGGAACUGCCUUUGAUACUGGAGGUCUCGAGUCCGGGAGAGGUGAGUGGAACUGCGAGUGUAGAGGUGAAAUUCGUAGAUAUUCGGAGGAACACCAGUGGCGAAGGCGGCUUACUGGUCCAUUACUGACGCUGAGGUGCGAAAGCGUGGGGAGCAAACA